CCAGACUCCUACGGGAGGCAGCAGUGAGGAAUAUUGGUCAAUGGUCGGGAGACUGAACCAGCCAAGCCGCGUGAGGGAGGAAGGUACAGAGUAUCGUAAACCUCUUUUGUCAGGGAACAAAGACUGGGACGCGUCCCCGGAUGAGUGUACCUGAAGAAAAAGCAUCGGCUAACUACGUGCCAGCAGCCGCGGUAAUACGUAGGGGGCAAGCGUUAUCCGGAAUUACUGGGUGUAAAGGGAGCGUAGACGGUAAUGCAAGUCUGGAGUGAAAGGCGGGGGCCCAACCCCCGGACUGCUCUGGAAACUGUGUAACUGGAGUGCAGGAGAGGCAGGCGGAAUUCCUAGUGUAGCGGUGAAAUGCGUAGAUAUUAGGAGGAACACCAGUGGCGAAGGCGGCCUGCUGGACUGUAACUGACGUUGAGGCUCGAAAGCGUGGGGAGCAAACAGGAUUAGAUACCCGUGUAG
rnacentral:rRNA from 1 species